UAGGGAAUCUUCGGCAAUGGGGGCAACCCUGACCGAGCAACGCCGCGUGAGUGAAGAAGGUUUUCGGAUCGUAAAGCUCUGUUGUAAGUCAAGAACGAGUGUGAGAGUGGAAAGUUCACACUGUGACGGUAGCUUACCAGAAAGGGACGGCUAACUACGUGCCAGCAGCCGCGGUAAUACGUAGGUCCCGAGCGUUGUCCGGAUUUAUUGGGCGUAAAGCGAGCGCAGGCGGUUAGAUAAGUCUGAAGUUAAAGGCUGUGGCUUAACCAUAGUACGCUUUGGAAACUGUUUAACUUGAGUGCAGAAGGGGAGAGUGGAAUUCCAUGUGUAGCGGUGAAAUGCGUAGAUAUAUGGAGGAACACCGGUGGCGAAAGCGGCUCUCUGGUCUGUAACUGACGCUGAGGCUCGAAAGCGUGGGGAGCAAACAGGAUUAGAUACCCUGGUAGUCCACGCCGUAAACGAUGAGUGCUAGGUGUUGGGUCCUUUCCGGGACUCAGUGCCGCAGCUAACGCAUUAAGCACUCCGCCUGGGGAGUACGACCGCAAGGNUG
rnacentral:rRNA from 1 species